UAGGGAAUCUUCGGCAAUGGACGAAAGUCUGACCGAGCAACGCCGCGUGAGUGAAGAAGGUUUUCGGAUCGUAAAACUCUGUUGGUAGAGAAGAACGUUGGUGAGAGUGGAAAGCUCAUCAAGUGACGGUAACUACCCAGAAAGGGACGGCUAACUACGUGCCAGCAGCCGCGGUAAUACGUAGGUCCCGAGCGUUGUCCGGAUUUAUUGGGCGUAAAGCGAGCGCAGGUGGUUUAUUAAGUCUGGUGUAAAAGGCAGUGGCUCAACCAUUGUAUGCAUUGGAAACUGGUAGACUUGAGUGCAGGAGAGGAGAGUGGAAUUCCAUGUGUAGCGGUGAAAUGCGUAGAUAUAUGGAGGAACACCGGUGGCGAAAGCGGCUCUCUGGCCUGUAACUGACACUGAGGCUCGAAAGCGUGGGGAGCAAACAGGAUUAGAUACCCUGGUAGUCCACGCCGUAAACGAUGAGUGCUAGAUGUAGGGAG
rnacentral:rRNA from 1 species